GUCUCAGUAGUUCAGUUGGCUAGAGCGCGCUAUGGCAAGUAACCGUAGCUGCGGGUUCGAAUCCCGCUAGGGGCA